ensembl:lncRNA
CCAGAACGUUCAUCACGCACAUGUGUCCCUAUUCCCACUAAUUAGGUUAAUGAUCGACUGCCCAAUGGAGUGCUGUGUGUUUUGGGCUUUCAUGCCCUUGUGGAUUGCGCAGAUGAUUAAGGGUCUCGUCCCGUGUGUUAUUUAUUCCAGGUACUCCAAGCUCUUUUGUUUUGGGUUUCUACCCUGUGUUUUGUUACGUGAUUGUUUGGUCUUCGUCCCCGUGCCUUUACACAGCACGCGCCCAGAGAGGAGUCCCAUCACCAGGCCUUGGAGAGCUGUACCAUGCCCCCGCUGGUGGUUCUUUCAGCGCAGACCACUUCUGUUUUUCUGAGACUGAGCAGAGAGAGAGAAAAAGAG